GAUGAACGCUGGCGGCGUGCUUAACACAUGCAAGUCGAACGAAGCACCUCUCCCGAAGAUUGACACAGCUUGCUGUAGAUUGAUUCAUUUGAGGUGACUGAGUGGCGGACGGGUGAGUAACGCGUGGGUAACCUGCCUCAUAGAGGGGGACAACAGUUGGAAACGACUGCUAAUACCGCAUAGUAAGAAGAAUUCGCAUGUUUUCUUCUUGAAAGAUUUAUCGCUGUGAGAUGGACCCGCGUCUGAUUAGCUAGUUGGUAAGGUAACGGCUUACCAAGGCGACGAUCAGUAGCCGGCUUGAGAGAGUGAACGGCCACAUUGGGACUGAGACACGGCCCAAACUCCUACGGGAGGCAGCAGUGGGGAAUAUUGCACAAUGGGGGAAACCCUGAUGCAGCGACGCCGCGUGAGUGAAGAAGUAUUUCGGUAUGUAAAGCUCUAUCAGCAGGGAAGAUAAUGACGGUACCUGACUAAGAAGCCCCGGCUAACUACGUG
rnacentral:rRNA from 1 species